rfam:Drosophila melanogaster chromosome X.
AAUAGGUCCAAUCUAAUUCUGCAUGGUGGUUUAAUUAUGUAGUCUCGCUUUUGGACCAGAUUAAUUUCCAUCCUUUAUUAUCCUUGUGCUUGUAAUAUUGCUUAGUUCAAUGCACAUGAGAAACGUAAAGGAACACUA